rnacentral:rRNA from 1 species
GACGAACCGUACGAACGUUAUUCGGAAUCACUGGGCUUAAAGGGUGCGUAGGCUGCGCAGCAAGUUGGGUGUGAAAUCCCUCGGCUUAACCGAGGGACUGCGCCCAAAACUGCUGUGCUCGAGGGAGAUAGAGGUGAGCGGAACUUAGGGUGGAGCGGUGAAAUGCGUUGAUAUCCUAAGGAACACCGGUGGCGAAAGCGGCUCACUGGAUCUCUUCUGACGCUGAGGCACGAAAGCUAGGGUAGCGAACGGG